UUGCGGCGUGCUUAACACAUGCAAGUCGAACGGAAAGGCCCUGCUUUUGUGGGGUGCUCGAGUGGCGAACGGGUGAGUAACACGUGAGUAACCUGCCCUUGACUUUGGGAUAACUUCAGGAAACUGGGGCUAAUACCGGAUAGGAGCUCCUGCUGCAUGGUGGGGGUUGGAAAGUUUCGGCGGUUGGGGAUGGACUCGCGGCUUAUCAGCUUGUUGGUGGGGUAGUGGCUUACCAAGGCUUUGACGGGUAGCCGGCCUGAGAGGGUGACCGGCCACAUUGGGACUGAGAUACGGCCCAGACUCCUACGGGAGGCAGCAGUGGGGAAUAUUGCACAAUGGGCGGAAGCCUGAUGCAGCAACGCCGCGUGCGGGAUGACGGCCUUCGGGUUGUAAACCGCUUUCGCCUGUGACGAAGCGUGAGUGACGGUAAUGGGUAAAGAAGCACCGGCUAACUACGUGCCAGCAGCCGCGGUGAUACGUAGGGUGCGAGCGUUGUCCGGAUUUAUUGGGCGUAAAGGGCUCGUAGGUGGUUGAUCGCGUCGGAAGUGUAAUCUUGGGGCUUAACCCUGAGCGUGCUUUCGAUACGGGUUGACUUGAGGAAGGUAGGGGAGAAUGGAAUUCCUGGUGGAGCGGUGGAAUGCGCAGAUAUCAGGAGGAACACCAGUGGCGAAGGCGGUUCUCUGGGCCUUUCCUGACGCUGAGGAGCGAAAGCGUGGGGAGCGAACAGGCUUAGAUACCCUGGUAGUCCACGCUGUAAACGGUGGGUACUAGGUGUGGGGUCCAUUCCACGGGUUCCGUGCCGUAGCUAACGCUUUAAGUACCCCGCCUGGGGAGUACGGCCGCAAGGCUAAAACUCAAAGGAAUUGACGGGGCCCCGCACAAGCGGCGGAGCAUGCGGAUUAAUUCGAUGCAACGCGUAGAACCUUACCUGGGUUUGACAUGGAUCGGGAGUGCUCAGAGAUGGGUGUGCCUCUUUUGGGGUCGGUUCACAGGUGGUGCAUGGCUGUCGUCAGCUCGUGUCGUGAGAUGUUGGGUUAAGUCCCGCAACGAGCGCAACCCUUGUUCACUGUUGCCAGCACGUUAUGGUGGGGACUCAGUGGAGACCGCCGGGGUCAACUCGGAGGAAGGUGGGGAUGACGUCAAGUCAUCAUGCCCCUUAUGUCCAGGGCUUCACGCAUGCUACAAUGGCUGGUACAGAGAGUGGCGAGCCUGUGAGGGUGAGCGAAUCUCGGAAAGCCGGUCUCAGUUCGGAUUGGGGUCUGCAACUCGACCUCAUGAAGUCGGAGUCGCUAGUAAUCGCAGAUCAGCAACGCUGCGGUGAAUACGUUCCCGGGGCUUGUACACACCGCCCGUCAAGUCAUGAAAGUUGGUAACACCCGAAGCCGGUGGCCUAACCGUUGUGGGGGAGCCGUCGAAGGUGGGACUGGUGAUUAGGACUAAG
rnacentral:rRNA from 1 species